AUUGAACGCUGGCGGCAGGCUUAAUACAUGCAAGUCGAGCGGAGUGAUGGUGCUUGCACUAUCACUUAGCGGCGGACGGGUGAGUAAUGCUUAGGAAUCUGCCUAUUAGUGGGGGACAACAUCUCGAAAGGGAUGCUAAUACCGCAUACGUCCUACGGGAGAAAGCAGGGGAUCACUUGUGACCUUGCGCUAAUAGAUGAGCCUAAGUCGGAUUAGCUAGUUGGGGGGGUAAAGGCCUACCAAGGCGACGAUCUGUAGCGGGUCUGAGAGGAUGAUCCGCCACACUGGGACUGAGACACGGCCCAGACUCCUACGGGAGGCAGCAGUGGGGAAUAUUGGACAAUGGGGGGAACCCUGAUCCAGCCAUGCCGCGUGUGUGAAGAAGGCCUUAUGGUUGUAAAGCACUUUAAGCGAGGAGGAGGCUCUUCUGGUUAAUACCCAGGAUGAGUGGACGUUACUCGCAGAAUAAGCACCGGCUAACUCUGUGCCAGCCGCCGCAGUAAAAC
rnacentral:rRNA from 1 species